UGUAAUAUAUCUCAUCCAGUGCACCAAAUGCCCUGAUGGAAAAUACGUAGGAGAGACCAAACAACAACUGCGCACCAGAAUGAAUGCGCUACCUGUCUUGUAUACAUACCAGCCCAGCCCCUGGCUUUACUUUUCAUUUCAUCCAGGAAGAGCACACACCAACUGCUGAAACUUCCUUAGCCUGACAAAGGGUUUUUGAACCCGAAAGCUUGCUUAAUAACUAUUCUCCAACUAUUUGGGUUGGUCUAAUAAAAGAUAUCAGAUUCACCCAAGGAACCUUGUCUUCCUACUUCCUGUGGCACUAGUCCAAGGAACAGUGCUCCUGUGUGUGUUUCUUAGACCUCUGCCUUGUUUGGAGAUCCUGGCUGUGACCUACCACCUGCCUUGUCCGCAAUACCACCUCAACCCUUGGCCUGACCACUCAGACUGCAGUAGAUGCCUGGUGUGGCUCCAGCUGACCUAUGGUAAGUCACUAAGUGCCUUUCCACAGCCCAGUUGAUCCUGACACUGUCAGCCUUCUUUUCUCGUGACUGAAUACAUCUAUAUUUUUCAGCCUUUCCUUGCAUGGCAUGCUUCCCAGGCCUCUCAUAAUUUUUGUUGCUCUGUGCUGGAUUCUUUCUGGUCUGUCCACAUCCUUCUUGAAGUGUGAGGCCUAAAACUGGAGACGGUGUUCCACUGAGGCCUUAACAAUGCUGAAUAAAGUGGAAGAAUCAUUUUCCUUGAUUUUGCAAGUGAUAUGCCUGUUAAUACAACUCAGUAUACUGUUGGCCCUUUUUGGCAGCAAGAGCACACUGUGCUCAUUCAGUUUAUGGCCCAUUGUAAUUUCCAGGUCCCUCUCUGCAGUGCUGUAGCCAAGCCAGUCCGUUCCCCAAUUUGUAUUUUCCCAUGAAGUUAUUCCACCUCAAGUGCAGGACUUUGCACUUGCCCUUGCUGAAUUUAAUCUGGUUGAUUGUGGACUAUUUUUUUUCAGUCUAUCUUGGUCAUUCUUUCUGAUACACUAAUAGCAAGGUGGCCUGAUGCCUCACUUCUAUGACAUGUAUACAGAGUUGUUUUGCUUUAGAACAAUCAGCUACAAACCUGAACUUGUUUCAGGUAUAACAGACAGACAAGUGUCUGGCAAGAGGAUUUGCUCUGUGGCUGAGACAAUAUAUUUGUGAUCUAGGCUCAUGAUUCCCUGAGGAGGGUCAGUUGGUGCAUUUAUUGAUUUCAAAGACUUAACGCUGAUCUUCUGUUGCUGCAGAAUUUUUGGAAUGAGUGCUAGGCACCUCUAUCUGCAGAGGGGCGGUUACAUUCAUCUGGAGUCAGUCAGAAGGCAGGGUAGAUAUGCGCUUUUACAGACUAGCUAAAAUCAGAUCUAUAUAUUAGAGUACAAGCUUUCGUGAACCCAACUUCCCUUCAUCUGAUGCUGUGAAAAGAUGUGCAGAAAGCAGAGUGUAACACUUGGGGUUGUGUAUGGUAAACUGUUUGCUUUUGGUUGCUAUAUGUUGUGUUUUUAUGUGGGCAAGAUGGACCCUGUUGUUCUGGCCAUGUGCUCAGUACAUGGCAAGGUGGGGCCUAUACCUGGGCAAAGUAUGUAAAACCCUCUGGACUCAUUGGCUAAUAGAAGCAGAAGAUCCUCCAGGCACAUUGGUUGGAUGAAAGACUGGAUUGCAGCACUCCCUGACCAGACAAGGCCAGAGUGAUGUCAUGCAGGGGGAUAUAAGGUGAGCUAGGCUGGUUUGGGGAGGGGAAGAAGCUGCGAGUAGCUGGUGAAGAGUGAAGUCUCCUCUGAGUGAGAAGGAAUUUGCAGAUAGCAAAAAGGGAAACUCAGAGGAGAGAGUGAGAGAGACAGGGAGAACUAUCCCAGUGUCUGGGAACUCCUCUCUCCUUUUCUUCACCUUUUUUUUUUUUUUUAUGGGUUUAAGGGAUUAAUACUGGGGAAGAGAGUAUUGAUUCCUUGGGUUUGCUGACCAGGAGUUAGGCCUGGCAGUUUUAAACAGGGUUGAAACCUGAGAAUUUCUGAUCCUUCCUGCUUUGGGCUGUGGUUGAGGUUUGCAACAUUUUUUGCUCCCAGUGGCCCAGACUACCUGCAGCCCAGGCUUAGAGGGUAGGCCUGGCUUCUCCCUUUUGUUUACCUUUAUGGUCCUUUGCUCCAGUCAAGCUGUGCGGUUGGGUCAGCUGUAGCUGUUAAUGAACCUGGCUUCUUCUGGAGUUUGUCCUGCAGUUUUGUUUCAGCAGGCCAUAUAAUCGAGCCCAAAAGUUUUGAGGUACAUGCAUGCUGGCUGCAGCUGCGGUCGCUCUGCACAUACGCACUCAGCCUCUCCAUGGGGGCAAAGAUCGGCAUCCUACCACGUCUUCAGGAGCAACAAGGGGCCCCUUGCAAUGCAGAAGGACCAACGCUUUCAAGCAGCUCCCUGUGGCACAGUGAACCCAAGGAGAUGCUCAUAGGACUCUCUGGUGUGGGCCCCCCUCCCCAGCCUAUUGCUGAAGGGCAGGUAUAGGGGUGCAGGAUGCUGGGACUCCCUGUUGCGGAGUCCCAAAUCCCAGACUGCCCGGGUAUGGGUGAAGCCUCCCCAAGAGGGUGCCACCUAUAGAUUUUGCUCUGUAGUUAAUAGUGUUUUAAAAUUAUAUUUACAAAUUUCUUUUGUUUUGCUUUAUUCUGUGUAACAGAUUUGGGUUUUUGUGUUUAUACUGCUUGUGAGAGAGGGAGUUUUGUUUACAUGGGAUGCCCCAGCAAAUUUAGUGUUCCCAGAUUUUCUGGAUGGGGGCUUGAGUCACUGGUAUAAUUUAUGAGGUACCCCAAAAUUGAACCCGGCUGUUUUUGCUGCUGACUGGUGCCCCAGCAGAAGUGUUACAAGAGUAUAAAAAGGAGACAGGAAUACAAACGAUAAUGGAGGGGGAGAGAGGGAGGGGAUAGUGCUAGGAGAGAGAAGCAAAUGAUCAGUAAACUCACUGGGGAAAAAGGAGGUCACAAAACCUAAUCCAGGUAAUGAGAUAAGAAUUCAUAGUCCAUGUUUAAAACAUAAUUAUAAAAUAUAACACAAACACAAUCUAGUUUAUAGAUGAUUUCUUGUUCUACAGUUUCCUGUUCCAACUGGGUUUUUAAAACUCUUUGCCUGAGAACAGCAAUCCUCAGGUCAGCAAUGGAUUAUCUGGGGCAGUAGACAUGUUCUGCUUCAGGCAUUUGUGUCAUUCUGCAGCUGAUGUAAUAUUGGCGUUUAUUCAUUCUUACAUGUAGAGAUCACCUUCAAUGUAGACAGCAGAAGAGCUGGUAGAGUUGCAGGUGCAUAAACUUUGGAUGUUGUACUCCUUGUUAUUAGGUCCAGUGAUACUGUGUUUUGUAUUGAAGUGGGGACACAGCAGACACUUGCUUUCAUCAGGCAAGGCCUGAUGCCUCUGUGAGGAUGGGAGUUCAUUAGUUUGUUUGAGAGAUGCCAGUGGAGGUUGGGAGCUGUCACGCUGCCAAGUCUCUCAGCUGUAGCUUUGUUCCUUUCUCUGGGAGCUCAUUUCUGUACUCAGUGGGUAUGUCUAUAUAUGUGCUUUAAUGCACAGUAGCCUAUUUUACUGUACAUUAAAGCAUUACUUUAAAAACCAUGUGAUUAUGCUAAUGCACAGUAAAAUAGACUACUGCACAUUAAGUGGCACUGAAAAACCAUGUGCAUUCAUUACUGUGCAUUAAGGCAGCCUAAUGUGCAUUUCUUUACUAUGUCACAUUGGAGGUACUAAAUUUAAUGCACAUUAGAAAAAGCGCCUAAAUGCAUGUGUAGACAUGCCCAAUUUCUUAUAAAUGCACUUUGGACUGAGCAGGUUAUAAAAGGCUCAGCAAUUAUAAAUACAGCAAAAGCUCUGUCAUCCAGCACCCAUGGGGAAUGGGCGGUGCCAGAUAACCAGAGACACCGGUUACCUGAGAGGCAUCUUUACCUGCCCCUGCUGCGUCCAGUGCAUCAGUGUGCCAGGGGACAGGCACCGCUCUGCCCCUCCUGCUCUCCCCUGUACAUAUUGGAUACAUUGGAUUACAUGUAAACUUUAUUAAUUUAUCAGUAAAUUCACCGUGGCCCAAAGUGGGACUCAGCUAAACCGGAAGCAGGACUUCUGGUUUCACUUUUGCUGCAUCAACUGGAAUGCCAGUUAAUAGAGUAUGCUGGUUAAUGAAGUGCCAGAUAACAUGGCUUUUACUGUACAAAGCUCAUGCUGAAAUGUAGUUGCUGGCUUGGGUUAUAGAUUAAUGAUAUAACACAAUGUAUGCACAGAUAUAUGCCAUUUAUUAUUAAUAAGGUAACAAAGAACUCUGCCUAUAAAUUCAUCAGUCUAUGCAAAUGUGAAAUGAUUUGGGCGCAGGGAUUAUUGAAUAUUCAUUUGUUUUGCUCCCAUGACUUCUGAAGACAACACUUUUGGUGAAAACGAAUGCUGGCUGAUGUCAAUAUAUUCUUGAUUGAUGUGCAUUUUGUAUACUGGAGGUGUUUUUUCUAGUUUUCCCCGCUAUGGGUAUUUUUCAUUAAACGUAUCUGUCAACCUCACAUGUUGCUUUAAAAAUCUUCAGGUGAUCUGGUGUCACUAAUGCAUAUUUGUAUAGGACAAUGCACUAAUGAACCCCAUCAGCGUGUUCCAGUGUCUGUAUGAUGCCCAUUGAGGACUUAUAAUUUUUAUUUUGAAAUGAGGGUAACAAGUAGCAGGUGGCAGAUAUUCCUAGCAUUCACCUGGGGCAUGGGGAGGACAGAAAUCCCCAGGAUUUGAAUAUUAUUUACCCAACCAGAAUAUCCUGUGUGCCAGGAAGCCAAAGUUCUCUCCCAGGCAAGUGACUAAGACCUCUGAGUAACUGUGGGGGUUACAUAAAGUAUUUGGCUUUGAACCCCCUUUCUUUAAAUAUUGUUCUUUCAGCCUUUGAGCAUCUGGUAAAUGAAUGCUGUGUGUGGUAAUGUCAAGCACCAUUUGACAUUGCACAAAAACUGCUGUGAAUGCAAAUUUCUUUUUUUUUGCCAGCCAAAGAGAAUGGCAAUUCUUGAAGUCUGGCAGUUUGUUUCAGUUUUAACAAAACCUAUGUAAUUGUAGGUAGUGUCUGGCAUAUUAUGAUGCUUUAUUUUGAAAUUUACCUCACUUGUGUGUUAUGCCCAAAAUUCUUAUCCUGAUGUAAUUUCACCAUAAUUUCCCUUCCUAUUUUUAAAGGUUUAAUGCCUAAAGGGCUGAUGCAUGGUACCAUUCACUCUGGAAUAUGAUUUUGAAAUGAUGAGGCAUCUCUGAUAUAGUCCAUGACUGGAUAUGUAGCAAAGAAUGAACUUUCAGAAAAAAAUGGUUGAGACUGGUUUAGCUGUUGAUACUAUCACAGGGCAAGGAGCGUUUAUUUAGCCCUCUUUCCCCUUGCUUGUUUGAAAAUAAGGACUUGUUUUAUUUCCAACAAACCUAGAAAUGUUAACACCAUAAUUACCCCUGUCCCACUCAUCUAUCAUCAACUUCCCCUUGCCCUGCUGUCUUGCUAAGUUUUAACUAUACAUUCUCUCAACAUGGAAAAUGACUGAGCAGCUUUUAGCAGCAGGUUACAUAAUUUACAGGAGUCCAUGUCCAGGUUGUGUUUCAGUUUAAAAAGGAGGUGAAAGCUGGGGUUUCCUGGAUUAAUCUACUUGCAUAUAGAUAGGAUAGAGUCAAGUGUUGUGAAUGUGAUUAUUUUUGGUAACCCUUGCAUAAGAAGCUAACUGUACUGACUCAUAAAAUCUCUUUUUAUCAUCGUAUAUCUGGUCUCCUGGUGUUUAGGGGAACUUGGUAAAUUCUGUAAAUAGCUUAACAACUAAUUUGGUUUUAUGUCUGUGUGUGGCUUGGUGGAUGCUUUGGUUGUGUCGGAGAUCAGAGCAGCCGGCUGGCAGCUGCUUUCUGACCCCCCCCACCGGAGCAGUAAAACUUUCACCUGACAGGCAGGUAGUGAUGGAUGGGGUGAAAUUAACCAGGCACAGACGCGUGUUGGUUACAGGAGAUUGCUUACUUACGUCGCCCAGAUAGUGACGUGCGACGCAGGCUGAGCCUUUGUUUCUGUUACAGUUGCAUCGAUUAUAGUCAAACGUAUGGGUUACAGCCAAGCAAUGACGGACGUGGCGCCGAAAACGUGCUAUCGUGCCUGCAGGGCUUUGAUACGUCAAGAUUUACGAUGACGGGGGGUAAUUGACAGCUGAUCAGACUGCCAAGUCACUCUGGUGAUAAGCUCAGGUUUCUCCUCAGAGAUUCCCCAGAGUUUUCCCUGGCUUGGGCGGAAGUUGCUAAACUAUUUAUAGACAGAGGUGUCUGACGGAGAUACCCAAUGAUGAACUGUUAUGUGGAAUCUUUAAUUUUCUGGCAAGCAGCAGUUUUGUGCUCUCAGGUUGCUUUCAGGUUACAAGGUAGUGGGUUAGGUUUUCUGCCUGUUAUGUAUGAGGUUAUGAUGAGGGGCUUAUGCUUGUUUCUUGACCAAUUGCAGGGAUUUAUGGCAGGGCUAUCCCCUUUCACCCUGACCAGUCUUAAGUUUCGUUUCUUGUUUGUGACGUGGGCAUAAAUUAUAUACAGCUCUCCGCCAGGAUUUUGUUUCAGGAGUUUCUGGCAAGGAUUUUUUUUUAACCCUUAGUUGACUACUUGAAUGGUAUCUCUUGCUAGUGGCAUGGGCACUGAUUAACUGGGUUGUGACAAGUUGAUUUGCUACUGGCACAGAUGCUGCCCAUGAGCUAGAUCUUGGACUCAGGCACCCACAGGCAGGGGUGAAUCCAGGGUUGUGUGGUCAACACCCCCACUUUUGGAUCAUAGUACUUAGGGUUGGAAGGGACCUAAACAGAUCGUCAGGUCUGACCCCCUGCCCCGGGCAGGAAUGGGUGCCGGGAUCAUAUUGCCCCAGCCAAAUAUCUGUCUAGCCUCCUCUUGAAGACCCCCAAGGUAGGAGAGAGUACCACCUCUUGGGAGGUGGGAUCUUGGGAGCCCGUUCCAGAGCCUGCCAGCCCUAACUGUAAAGUAAUGUUUCCUGAUGUCCAGACCGAACCUUCUCUCUAACAACUGAGAACAGUUGGGGACUUAAAGUAAGUCCCCCAAACAGGUAAGAACCUUGCAUCCUCCUGCUUUUGACCCCCUGCUCCUUUCCCUUUCUCACUCAGUGGCAUGCCCCUCCUCAAAAAUAAUUUUUUUUGUUUUUUAACAUGGAAAUGUUUGGUUGGUGCUGGUUGUCCUGAAUGAAGAUUAACAUAUGGUUAAAGACAAUAGAAAGCGAGAGUACCCUUCCCAGGUGUUGAGCAUGUCUGGAGACGGGGAUGGGGCUGAAUCACACUUGCUCACCAUGCCAGCACUUUAGUGUUAGUCAGUGGGGUGUCUUACAUUAUGUCUGUGCUGAUGGAUACUGUAUUUUUUUUCUGUCUGACUUCCGGCUCAGCCCAGCCUUUAGCUUGGGCCCAACUGCACUGUUUGGGUGGUUGACUUGAUCUCAAAAACCUGCAAUCUUAGGCUCUGUCCUUUUACACCUGUCUGCUCUUCUCAUUAAUGGCAUCUUUUAAAUCUUUGAGAUGACUAUUUUUUUUUUCUUGAUUUAAAUGUGUAAGAGAGAAAGUGAACUUUGGCUCAGGCUCAACAAUACUCCAGGUUGGAAUUAGCUUGGAUUAGACUAGUUUAAAAGCCAUGCUAUUGAAUGUAGUUCAGAAGCAUACCAAAACACAUAAAGAUAUUAUUGAUGAUUCAUUUCUUAUAUUUAGUGUAACAGUGGUAAUAAUAAUGGUUGCUUCAUGGUGCUUCCUCUUCAUUCAUCAUCUAAACCUAAGAUAUUUAAACAAGGAUAUUGAGAACUUUUCCAUAAAAUUGUAUUCAUCAGAAAAUGAUGGGAUUGCUUUGCAGCCAAAACUUCUUGUAGAAAUGCUUGUCUUUUAGUGAAGUUCAUUAUUGGGAAGGCUUGUGUCUACUCUAUGGUAUGUUUCACCGUGGAAUUGCUGAUCAAAAUCGGGGGGGGAGGAUAAUCAGUAGCUUGGAAAUUGAAUCACUCCUCUGGAUUUAGAUCAGGGAAUUUAACCUGGGUCUCCUGAUGGCACUCCCACAGACUGUUGGGUAUUUAUUUUUUUCUCUUCUGCAUUUUUUGCUUCACAUUGGUACAGAAAAUAAAUUUCAAAACCUUUCACGGCUAGUUUUUGUUAAAACAUUUCAGGUUUCCUAAGGUACUGAUGUUACUAGAGUCUAGAAAUACUAAUAAGAAUUAAUAUAAAUGUGUGGAAGAGCAGGAAAUUUGCAGUUUUUUUUAAGAAAGUAGUAUGUAAAAGUAAACCUCAUGUGACUGCUUUUUCCUUCUCCUCAAGAGUCCAGUAAUUCUCUCAGUAGGGAUCUGAGAACCGAUGGGCAAUUUGUACAGAUUUCCUUUAUGCAAUUCGUAUAGACUAUUAAGUGGAUAUGUAACAUUUUGAUACUGGAGGGAAGUGAAAGGGACUAGAAUAUUUUAGCUUCUCAAGUUGAGCUAAACCUGGAAGCUGUAAGGGGUUGGCAGUUAAAAGCAGUUGGGAGGAGAAGAGAUGAUCUGAAACCCCACACCUGUGCUCUCCUCAGAGGAAAGGGUCAUGUUUACUCUGAACAAUUGAUAAUAAAAUGUUCAGAGUCCUUUGUAAAAGUAAACGGUUUUAACUGCAACAGCAUUAUAGGGUGUGGGCUUGUCAGACAACAUGCAUCCUCCUGGACAAAUGAGGUCCAGCCUUUGCAAACCUGAAGUUCUGUAUGUAGUUUGGCAAAUGCCAGGUGAGUACAGACCCUGCAGAGGACACAGUUGUGACAUCUGAAUUAAAGUAUACAAAACUGCAAGGUCAGACUGUGUUUGACAAUAGUGGGAACAGAAAUGACCCUACUUGGAAAUCUGAGCUUGAUUGUAUGUGUAGUGGAAAUGCCGUUUCACCUGCUUAUUAGUACAGGACCAGAUACUGGAAAGUAGGUGAUUUAGACUACUUAAUUCCUGGCUCCAUCAGUGACCUGUUUUAUGAUCUUGUGAUCUGUACAUAAUCCCACAACCUCUUGUUUUUUUCAUUUGCCAAAUAGAAGUCUUACCCUACUCUGUAAAGCAGGAAUUGGCAAUAUACAGCUCACAGGCUGAACGUGGGCUGUAAAGCCCCCAGGCUCUUCCCUUGCUGCACUGCAGCUGGGCAGUGGAGAUGGUGGUGGUGGGAGCGGGUCGUUGCAUGCCAAACUGCCACAGACAGCAACAGGAGGGGUACGUGCUUUGCAUGCACAGCCAGAUGGCUGGGACAUUGGCAUGCUGGUGCUGCAGCUGGAUGGUGAGGUGGGGUUUGCAUGUUGUCACAGUUGGAUGGUAGGAAGCAGCAGUGGCAGCAGACCAAGUUGGAAACGCUGGCCCACUUGGGAUCUGAAUAGGGUUGAUGUGGCCCAUUGCUCUAAAACCUUACUGACUCUGCUAUGGAACAUUGUGAGAUGUAGAAUGAAAAGUGCUGUAUUAGAGUGAAGUUAUUUAAUGAUACUUGGUGGAGGUGAUGCUUUGGAGCUUGAGCCAUUUCUGCUUGUUAGACAUCUGCAUGACAUGCCAGGGGAUGGGUUCUUCCACUUUUGCCCCCUACUGGUUUCUUAAGCUUUUUGAAGCAUCUCGUGCUGGUCAGAAUUACAGAUUGGAUACUGGACCAGAUGUCCUCUGUCUGAUCCUGUAUGGUAAUUCCUGCAUUUCUUUCCAGGGAGGAGCUGCAAGGCUGAAGCAGUUCAUAAUUUCUGCCACAUGUGCCCUGUCACCUCACAGAAGCACAACACACUGGCUUCCAGACAUCUGGCUGCAUGGUGAGACUCCAGCAGUUAGGCAGAAAGGUGAAGGAUGCAGACCAGCAAUAUCAAUCUCUCCAAAAGAAAAAACUUGGAAUCUACAGAUGUGCCUGUGAUAGCUGUUUCAAUGGACUGUUCCUAUCUAUUGAAAACUUCACAUGUGUUUUGCUACCAAAUAUCCAAUGCAUGGGAGCCAGGAAAUCUACAAAUCCCAGAGGAACCUGGAAGCAGGAAGAAGUCAUGAGAACCCUGCAGAGUCCUGCUGCUGUAAUUCUGGACUGCAAAUCCCAGAGACCGCAGGGGCAGUAGGGAGAGGAAGUGAACACACAGCCAGAUAGCCUGCUCUAGCUGCCUCCACCUUCUGGCCUGAGCUACUGCAGGCAUGUGGCUGCAUUUCCUGAA